rnacentral:lncRNA from 1 species
AAUUGGGGUGGCAGUAGGGGAAGAGAAAGUAUCUCUUGGGUGAGAAAUCAAUGGUCCAUUUCCAACACUGGACUGUAAUGUCCUUCUAAUCAGUACUCCGUCUAUCUGAUUCCAUAAUGGCGUUGAAGGGGUGGGGACACCAUCUCAUCUUUUAGGGAGGAAAUGAUGGUCUAGACAAAUCAAUGAUUUUCCAAGGUCUCUCUUAAGAGACCCAUAGUAGUACUGGGAUUUUAACCUUUGGCUCUGUUUGGAUACAAAUAACCAGAGUGAGAAUAGAAAUCUAAUAUAAUCAUCCAAAUCUGUCAUCAAAGCUACUUUCAGCAGACUGAGUGAUUCAUUAAAAACAAAACCAACCAACCAACCAAAAAAUGAGACAUAGAGAUGCGCUGAGCUGGUGCAGGGGAGGAGAUCCAUAAAAGCCUGAGGAAUGAUCCUUGUCCCUGAGGACAUGAGCCAGAAACCCAGGUGAAAGGCAGCCCCCAACACAGGUGUUAAACCAGCUAGCUCCAGUCCAAGGUGGAAUAGAGCAUGCAUUCUGGGGUGAUACAAAAAUUGAAAUACGGGAGUCUCUGGACCAUGUCCCCAUGCCAUAACUCUUGUGCACUUCCAAGCCCUCUUUCUUACUAACACCAAGGAAAUAAUGAACAUGUCACUACCUUGCUUAGAUAUUUCCAAUGGUCCCAUCAUCAAUAACAAAAGUUGCUCCUUUGCAUGGGAACAUGCCUUUUGUAAUUUACACCCUGCUUUCCUCGCCAGCUUCGUUUCUUCAGACCGUCCAGCUUGCUGCCUCUUGCCCAGUCACGUGGAGCUAAUAAAGAUGCGCUGUUCCACACCUCUGUGCCUCUCCACAUAUGGUUCCUUUCGCCUGGAGUGCCAACCCUUUCUGCCUGCUGUCCACCUAUCAAACUUCCACUCAUCCUUUACAAACGAGCAUAAGCAUCAGCACUUUGGAGGUGUGAGAAAAUACCCAGUGUAUGCAUCAGCCCCAUUUCCUAGACACACUGAACAAACUGAGAACAGAAAACUGAGAUCAAAUCCCACUACUUCCCAUCAACCAGAGCUGAAGUGGGAGGAUUGCUUGAAGCCAGGAGUUUGAGACCAGCCUGGACAACAAAGCAAAACCCUGUCUCUACAAAAAAAAAAAAAAACAUUUUAAAAUAUUAUCUGGGCAUGGUGACGCAGGUCUGUAGUCCCAGCUACUUGGGAGGCUGAGGUGUGAGGAUCACUUGAUCGCUCAGGAGUUUGGAGGCUGCAGUGAGCUAUGAUCACACCACUGCCCUUUGCUUGGGUGUCAGAGUGAGACCUCAUCUCUAAAAAAAAUUAAAAUAAAAUAAAAUUAUAAAAUAAUAAUAAAAAAAGAAGGGGCACCCACCACAGAGAGCAAUUAAUGUCCAGAGAGUAUGAACAGAUCCUGGGACUGCUUUGCAAGACAGUUCAGUUAAAGUUGCUUUAACUUUGUAGGCGGACCAGCCUCUGCUCAGCCCUUGAAAGGGAAGCUGGGCACUCAACCACACUCAGUAAGCUGAACAAGAGCAGGCCGUGAGGCCGCCAAGCCCUCCAAGGAUAAAGCAUGAGCCCUAGGGCAACUGGACAUGUGCUGGAGAUAGCUGGCUCAAGGCCAGUGCCUCUUCAGUGCUGGAAACUGUUGACUCAAGAUUCGUGCGUCACCCAGCCCUUGGGGGUGGGCCAGGGAUCAUGACUCUGGCAAGCUCACAGAGUGCCUGAGAUUGAAGCUGCUGUGCAUGGUGGCUGCUUUAUGUUCCUGCAAUAACUAACAGGGACCAAAGCUGAAAGCAUUCUGUGUAUGGGCUGAUGGUGGCUGGAAUACACAUUUGGAGGUUUGAACCUAGCCUUUUCAAAAACAAAACCAAUCAAAUAAAGCAACCCCUCGCCAUCACCUGAGGACUCUUCACAAGCUUUCUGGUAGGUUCCAGGAGUUUCUGAUCCCCCAGGCUGAGGCAUUACUUGGUGGUUAUUAACCUCGUGCAGAACAAAAUGAAAUGCAGACCCUGGGGUCCUUUGGGAGACUUAGAACCUUAGCCAAAGUUCCAGAGAUCCUGGGGCUGCUUUUCUGAAGUUCCAGUUUCUUCAGCAAAGUUGCUCCCAAUUUCUCAAAUAGUGGAUACACCUCUGCAGAGUGGCUGUCAGUCUUAGAAAGUGUAAGACAUGCCUGGAGAACUUGUUAAAAGUUCAGAUUCUAUACACCUAACAGAAUGGCAACAAUUCAGAACACUGACAACACCCAGUGCUGGUGAGGAUGUGGAGAAACAAGAAUUCAUUCAUUGCUGGUGGGAAUGCAAAAUGGUACAACCACUUUGGAAGACAGUUUGGUGAUUUCUUACAAAACUAAACAUAUUCCUCCCAUAUGAUGCAGCAAUUGUGUUCCUUGGUAUUUACCCAAAUGAGUUAAAAACUUCUGACCACACAAAAGCCUUCACACAGCUGUUAUAGCAUCUAUCUAUCUAUCAUCUAUCUAUCUAUCAAUCUAAUUAUCAUCUACCAAUCUAUCAUCUAUCAUCUAUCUAUCUAAUCUAUCUGUCAUCUAUCAUCUAUCUAUCUAUCUAUCUAUCAUCAUCUAUCUAUCAUCUAUCUAUCAUUCCAUCAUCUGUCUAUGUAUCUAUGUAUCUAUCAUCUAUGUAUCUAUCAUCUAUCUAGGUAUCUAUCAUCUAUCUAUGUAUCUAUCAUCUAUGUAUAUAUCAUCUAUCUAUCAUUCCAUCUAUCAUCCUA